UACGUAGGGUGCGAGCGUUGUCCGGAAUUAUUGGGCGUAAAGAGCUCGUAGGCGGCUUGUCGCGUCGGAUGUGAAAGCCCGGGGCUUAACUCCGGGUCUGCAUUCGAUACGGGCAGGCUAGAGUUCGGUAGGGGAGAUCGGAAUUCCUGGUGUAGCGGUGAAAUGCGCAGAUAUCAGGAGGAACACCGGUGGCGAAGGCGGAUCUCUGGGCCGAUACUGACGCUGUGGAGCGAAAGCGUGGGGAGCGAACAGG
rnacentral:rRNA from 1 species